rnacentral:rRNA from 1 species
GGAGGGCAAGUCUGGUACCAGCGGCCGCGGUAAUUCCAGCUCCAAUAGCGUAUAUUAAAGUUGUUGCAGUUAAAAAGCUCGUAGUUGAAUUUCGGGAUCAAUUUAUUGGUCGUGCUAUUGUACGUACUAGUAUUAUUGAUUUCUACCUUCUGACGAACCAUGAUGUCAUUAAUUUGGCGUCUUGGGGAAUCAGGACUGUUACUUUGAAAAAAUUAGAGUGUUUAAAGCAGGCUCACGCUUGAAUACAUUAGCAUGGAAUAACGAAAUAGGACGUUUGAUUCUAUUUUGUUGGUUUCUAGGAUCGACGUAAUGAUUAAUAGGGAUAGUUGGGGGCAUUAGUAUUCAAUUGUCAGAGGUGAAAUUCUUGGAUUUAUUGAAGACUAACUACUGCGAAAGCAUUUGCCAAGGAUGUUUUCAUUAAUCAAGAACGAAAGUUAGGGGAUCGAAGACGAUCAGAUACCGUCGUAGUCUUAACCAUAAACUAUGCCGACUAGGGAUCGGAUGAUGUUAAUUUUUUAAUGACUCAUUCCGCGCCUUACGGGA